UUAUUUUUCCCCUUUUUUGUUUCAGACGGUAUUUUUUCCCCCCAUUUUCUUGCCAGCAACAAUGCUCUCGCCACCUAUUGGCCAUACAUUGAAACACAUCGUGCCACUGGCAGAUUCGCACCAGGUAGCCGAGGAGAGGGGAAGUGAGGUAUGAUUAGUCAUCGAACGAUGCCAUCACGUCUUUCGUCUACCUCUACAUUAACGAUUCCAUUGCCAUAGUGUGUUACACGCACGGACAGUACCUGCGGGAAGAGACUGCCUUUUUGACCCCAUUCAUCAGUGGACCAAAAAGCAGAAUAAGGAUGUAUUUUUCCGUUUGCUGUUGACCUGCAACCUAUUUAUGCUGUCGAGUCCAAAGUUUCUUCUAGGUGGAAUGUUAAAAAGGUUGUAUGCGUUUUGCUGGUUUUGCUCAUCGUUUUUCAGCACGAAACGACUUGGCACUGUUCUACUUACUGCUUUCUGUCCCUGGUUUCUGGUUCGUUUGAAAUGCAUCAGGUCAACAGGUCACAGUGAAAGUACCUGUGUUAUAAUAUCUCAAAAAGAUUUUCAUUCACGAACACUUUUCCGAGACUACCAUCCAUGGAACAGGUUUGGUCGAACUGGAAACACCAGCUUUCUUCUCACGAAUGUCGGCAACACCGUGACGUUUAUUUGCAUGAUACUUUCACCUUAUAAUGAAACCCACCAUUCCACUAUACAGUUUUUUUUGCCUUGUUUGCAAAAAGUCUAAUAUCUGUCGGUUCGACAAAUCUACACGAACAAGAUUUUUCGUUCUGUUUACACGUUUGAUUGACGUUUUGUCCUCCUAUUUUGUUCUUUCUUGAAUUUAGACAUAGCACUUUUCCAACGGCGAUACACCGUUGUUCAAUAUCGUUGGAAACGCCACGACAGGACAUUUUGGCUAAUCUCCUAUAACGAUGCCGUUCUGGAAGCAAAACCGGUUGGAUGGCGCCAUCAAACUGCAUGACCAACCCUCGCCACGUAAAAUCUCUGUGUCAUAACUGGCUAUAUCAAGUUAGUGAGUAUGUGAUAAAAGCACUUAAUAUUUUCUACAUCUUAUCGUAGUGUUUAUCCCUGUGAUAAUUCGUACCGACAUAUGGUCUCUGACUGUUGUGUAGAAAUUCUUUCAAUAGCUUGGUAGACGUGUGUAUACCAUUUACUUCGUUGCCUCAUCAUGUUAAGCUUGAAUUUAUCUUGAUUCACUUUAUUGCAACAUUACAUUAUGCAACCUUGCAGACAGUUAUCCGCUCUAAUUCGAUCAAUGAUGACCGAACACUGAAAAAAAAAGUCGAAAGUUUCACUUACGUACAUGCACGUUCUUACGUCUAUUGUGUUACUUUUGAAAUGUACCCAUUAUUUGACACGGAUAUGCUACGGUUGUACUUGAUGGCUAUAACACUUGAGUUAUAUGCCUCUUUAAUAUAAAGGGGCAGAUCAUGUAGUACGCAAUUAAGACGGCUACAGUACACAGCAAGUGAGUAGCGAAAUUAGACCACAUGACUGAACAAGUAGGCUGGUCAAUUGGUUAGAUUGUGUGGCUUCCAUCUUUGUAUCCCUUUCCCCCAGACGUAUUUUUUCCGAAAACAAAAUUCAAAGGAAGGGAGAGAGUAAGCAGAAAAAAGAAGAUAAAAAACAUGAAGUCAUACUGUACAAACCAUUCCUUGAAGUGGCAGACGAUGCACAUAACACAGCCAAACCCAGUCCAACACGGUACAAAAAGUCGCAAUCAACGGUGAGUUGAAUAUGGCAAUCUAUUUUGGUUGUAGUGUACCAAAGAAAGGGUGUGUAUUUCUCGCAAUAUACAAAUCACGAAGGCAAAUUAUAAGAACAAACAACUCAACAAGAUACUUUCAGAUAAUUCACUUUCACAUCCUGCCUCCUGUUUUUAGUCGAGGUUUUAAAACAACUCUAAUUUCCGUUUUAUGACAUAUACAAUAUAGAUGUAUAACACGAUUAUGAUGUUGUCGGCGGGAGCUUGGGUUAUUUUUGUCAAAAUUUUGAUAAAGAAAAAAAUCCAAAUUCUGUACAGACAUAAUCGCACGAACAUACAAGCAGUCACAUAACGCGUCUUUAACAAAUAACAUGAACAACAGUCCACACCACCGAAUAAAAAAAAAAAUGAUUCCAAAAAUUCCGAAGAACGUUAUCGCUUAAAAAGUGAAAAUCUUUUAAAUCUAUUUUCAACACGAAAUUUUCUUCGAUAGUCAGCAGCGUCACCUAUGUACAAAAAGAAACAAGAGAAAA